UACGUAGGGACCAAGCGUUGUCCGGAAUCAUUGGGCGUAAAGAGCGUGUAGGCGGCUUGUUAAGUCUUGCGUGAAAUCUCGGGGCUCAACCCCGAGCGGUCGUGAGAAACUGGCAGGCUAGAGUGCGGGAGAGGAGAGUGGAAUUCCUGGUGUAGCGGUGAAAUGCGCAGAUAUCGAGAGGAACACCUGCGGCGAAGGCGGGUUGCUGGGCUGACACUGACGCUGAUGCGCGAAAGCCAGGGGAGCGAACGGG
rnacentral:rRNA from 1 species